UUCUCAGUUCGGAUUNUAGGCUGAAACUCGCCUACAUGAAGCUGGAGUUACUAGUAAUCGCAGAUCAGAAUGCUGCGGUGAAUGCGUUCCCGGGUCUUGUACACACCGCCCGUCACACCACGGAAGUUGGGGGCGCCCGAANCCACUUAGCUAACCCUUUUGGGAAGCGAGUGUCGAAGGUGAAAUCAAUAACUGGGGUGAAGUCGUAACAAGGUAAC
rnacentral:rRNA from 1 species